GAUGCAGGCUGUGGAAUCACAGCGCUUGGGCCCAGUCAUUCACUAGCUUAACUCUGUGGCCCUGAGCAAGUCCUCUAAGUCUCACGCUCCUGUUCUGCAAAACAGCAGCUUCACGUGGCUUGUGGUUACCGCUUCAGACAGUGCAGAGCUAUUUCCUUCGUGUUUGCGUCACAAAGCUCUUGCCUCUUAAAAUCUGGAAUGCUAGAUGGUUUCCCUAGAUGUACAGUCACUCCAAUUCCAUGUGAAUCCUGAAAUAGAUUCCAGAAGGGAAGAUGGAAACCGUACAAUAGAAGAUGUAACAGAGGGUCAAGCAACUGUGUUGAGCGGGAGCAAGGAAUAUAACAUGUGAUGAGACUGAUAUUUUAGAAGUUUCAAUCUGGUGACCAUGAGGAGUAUGGAGCUUGUCAGAGGAUAUUAAGUUUCAU